AUGAUGAUUUUAUCGGUACAAGGAGAAUUCAUUUCUAAUUUCAUGUUAAGAAAUUCGUCCUACGGCAACAGAGCAACUUACGCAAUUAAUGUAAUUUUUACGUCAAAUUGCCGUAGUCUUUUAGACUGUGCAUCUCAAUGUACAGCUUGGGGUGAGUGUAAAUCUGUGAUGUUCAACAUGGACACUCGUCAAUGUCAACUUCUGUCUGUCCACAUGGAUGACCAAUCAGACGCAGGACCACACACUUCCGUAGGUUGGCUGUACUAUGAGAGGAAAACUGAAGAUGAACCAAAUACAGCCACUGAGACAGCCGAUCUGCCGACAACAGUAAUUAGCACUGAAACUUCACAGUCAUCAUCUCCUAAUGUCGCGACUGACUUGACAACAGUAGUUGACUUUGAAACUACAACUACAUCUGAAGAUGAACCAAAUACAGCCACUGAGACAGCCGAUCUGCCGACAACAGUAAUUAGCACUGAAACUUCGCAGUCAUCAUCUCCUAAUGUCGCGACUGACUUGACAACAGUAGUUGACUUUGAAACUACAACUACAUCUGAAGAUGAACCAAAUACAGCCACUGAGACAGCCGAUCUGCCGACAACAGUAAUUAGCACUGAAACUUCGCAGUCAUCAUCUCCUAAUGUCGCGACUGACUUGACAACAGUAGUUGACUUUGAAACUACAACUACAUCUGAAGAUGAACCAAAUACAGCCACUGAGACAGCCGAUCUGCCGACAACAGUAAUUAGCACUGAAACUUCGCAGUCAUCAUCUCCUAAUGUCGCGACUGACUUGACAACAGUAGUUGACUUUGAAACUACAACUACAUCUGAAGAUGAACCAAAUACAGCCACUGAGACAGCCGAUCUGCCGACAACAAUAUAACAUGAAUGUAAAAGAAGUUGCGUUUAAGAUAUAUAUUCGACAGGAAUCUCAGCGCACAGGGAGAGUGAAAAUUUCAUCGAUUAGUUUUGCACAUUUUUCGAAUUAUAACCUAUAUUUGGUUUCUGUUGGACGUGGAAUGGGAAGAAAUAUGUUUGAAAUGCAAAUUACAUAAAUAAUUUUUUAUCAAAAAAUUUAAAAAAUCUUGUUGACAUUACUGGUCAUGGUUGAUUAGAUAUUUAAUUUAUGCAUUUAUUCACAUUAAAUUUUAAACCCUAGAGUGCGUUACUUGCAACCAAAAUAGAUUUUUUACCUUCUCGUUAAAAAUACAUUAAAAUUCCCAUAAAAAAUUAAGGGCAUAUAUCCUUCUUUGAACAACGCAAUCUUGCUUCAGAAAUGAUACUCUAACGAUCCAAAAAAUAAAAUUUUGGUGUAGCAUUCCACCUUAAAUCCCAAUUGAUUUGUGUCGAUGAUUUCUGCAAACUAAAUAUCAUGUGCGCCCAAUUUAUUUCUUCUUAUAUAAAUAUAUAAUCGUAGAGAAACAUUUUAUUGCACGGGGGAGGGGGUCAUUGAUAUAUUAAAAUUCACUAAAUCAAUUUAAUAUUUCACUAAUAAUUUAAUUCAUUUAAAUGACUGAAGCUUAGUCGAUGUCAAUUACAUUAACAGCUAAUGUCGCGACUGACUUGACAACAGUAGUUGACUUUGAAACUACAACUACAUCUGACUGCUCAUUGUGGCACUAUCGUUUCGGUCAUUGGUACUUAUUGGAUUCUAAUUACAGAACAUUUAACGACUCACGGACAUUCUGCGCCAGCCUGUCUCCGCCAUCUUACGUGAUUGAAGUACAAUCUCAAGAGGAAAAUAAUUGGCUCAUCGAAUUAACAUCUAACCGAUGUGGAGUACCUUACGAAUACUGGCUGAACGGAUACGAUACCGAUAACUCUGGGACGUUUACGUGGAUUGAUAGUCAAACUCCGUCAAAUUACACAAACUGGUACACUGGUCAACCGAAAGAUGAAUCUGGCAAUGGUACUGGGAAAUGUAUUGCAUCAUCUACUGGAUAUACAGGAGUAUGGGUUGAUAUUCCAUGUUCAUUAACUAGACCAGUUGUUUGCGAAAGAAAUUUUUAGAAGAAUUAAAUCAAUACAAACAAUUCUUGUAAAAAAUAAUUACUGUGGUGGUGAUUUUUAGUUUCAAACACGGUGAUAUAGGACACCUGCCGCUAAUAACAUGGAUAAAAGUUCAUAAUGUUAAAAAUUUUAAAAAAAUUUAUUUAAAAAAUAUUUGACUCAAAGAAUAUGUUUGUAACAUUUUUGAAAUCGUAAAAUUUAUCAGAACCUCCCGCGGGCUUUGGCGCUACACUGUAAGGUAACAGCUCUGAGAAAGAAACCAUUUUUUAUGAAAUUUUUCUUUAUUUUAUUGGGUUUUUUUUUAUAAUUGUAUGCACAAAAUUUUUUAUAUUCGGUAAUAUUAAAAUUAAAAUCCAUAU
rnacentral:sRNA from 1 species